GUUUAUAACUUUUUUUUAUUUAUUAUAGCAUUCUAAACAUAUAUGUUUUUGUGAAAACAUAGACCUGGUUAUUAAAAAUACAAGGGAAAGCCGACUUUUUUUUGUGUAUGAAAAAGCGCAGCAGUCCCCCAACUUCGAAUAUGAAUUCGAAAUAAAAAAGCCCACUCCAGGUCUACAAGUAUGUGCACAGUUUUGGAGAAAUGAUAAAGAUGACAAGCGUGCACAAUACCCCUAAGGGCCAGCAACAACCUGUACAAGUUUAUUCGAUAAUGAUCCUUCCGCAGGUUCACCUACGGAAA
rnacentral:misc_RNA from 1 species